UGGCUCAGGACGAACGCUGGCGGCGUGCCUAAUACAUGCAAGUCGAGCGGAUCUUCAUUAGCUUGCUUUUGAAGAUCAGCGGCGGACGGGUGAGUAACACGUGGGCAACCUGCCUGUAAGACUGGGAUAACUUCGGGAAACCGGAGCUAAUACCGGAUAAUCCUUUCCCUCACAUGAGGGAAAGCUGAAAGACGGUUUCGGCUGUCACUUACAGAUGGGCCCGCGGCGCAUUAGCUAGUUGGUGAGGUAACGGCUCACCAAGGCAACGAUGCGUAGCCGACCUGAGAGGGUGAUCGGCCACACUGGGACUGAGACACGGCCCAGACUCCUACGGGAGGCAGCAGUAGGGAAUCUUCCGCAAUGGACGAAAGUCUGACGGAGCAACGCCGCGUGAACGAUGAAGGCUUUCGGGUCGUAAAGUUCUGUUGUCAGGGAAGAACAAGUACCGGAGUAACUGCCGGUACCUUGACGGUACCUGACCAGAAAGCCACGGCUAACUACGUGCCAGCAGCCGCGGUAAUACGUAGGUGGCAAGCGUUGUCCGGAAUUAUUGGGCGUAAAGCGCGCGCAGGCGGUUCCUUAAGUCUGAUGUGAAAGCCCCCGGCUCAACCGGGGAGGGUCAUUGGAAACUGGGGAACUUGAGUGCAGAAGAGGAGAGCGGAAUUCCACGUGUAGCGGUGAAAUGCGUAGAGAUGUGGAGGAACACCAGUGGCGAAGGCGGCUCUCUGGUCUGUAACUGACGCUGAGGCGCGAAAGCGUGGGGAGCGAACAGGAUUAGAUACCCUGGUAGUCCACGCCGUAAACGAUGAGUGCUAAGUGUUAGAGGGUUUCCGCCCUUUAGUGCUGCAGCAAACGCAUUAA
rnacentral:rRNA from 2 species